AAGAUCUCUGUGACAUUUUCUUUCGCCUUUCUCCUCUUUUCUUUUUCUUCUUUUAUUUUUUGGCAGGAGCAGGAAGCUGCGUGCUAAUCCCGCCUGCAAAAGCUAGAAGAGAGGGUGGAAUGAAAGAACAAAUCAGGAGCCGCGGACCAAGAACAGAACAACCAAUCCUUGCCUUGAAGAUGAAGUGGGCUAGGACUGGGAAGUGGAAAAGCCUAUCCUCAAGUUCAAAUGGAAUUGAAAAUGGCUCUGAAUAGCUGACAAUAUUGAAAAAGAAGAAAAAGAUUGGAAAACUUACAUUUCCCAAUUUAAGCCCCGCUCUUUCACUGAAACUUAAAGAUGACCUUCAGUAUCUCUUCUUUGACCUGUAGUGGUCUCAAGGCCCUGCAUCUCCAGUUAGUCUGCCUUGGAUAACACCCUGCCUCGCUGGAACUUCAUCAUGCCUGGAUCUUUCCUGACCCUUUUACCACCUUCCUACCAAAGGGGCACUGGACAGUUUUCCUACUCUUCCUUCUUCCUCUCCUGCAGAAAGUCUGGUUCAAUGGGGCUGAGCUGAAAACCUGGCAUCUACGUUUUAACAAGUACCUUAGAUGAUCUGGUGCAGGUGGUCUGUGGAUUAUGCAUUCUGAUGCACUGCUUCACAGCUUUCAUGAACAUUCUCAUCCUUAUCUCCAUUACUUGUAAAAGGAACCCUUUCUCUUUAGAAACGGUCUUUUAGAUCAUACAGAGGAAUUAGUUCAGCUUGCAGAGACUUGGUAAAUUUAUUAUCUUCCUGAAGCCAAGUGAGACCACACAAGAGCAUGUGACAUGACAUCUCAAGUUUGUUGAUAAAGAGACUUCACAAAGAUACUAUAGAGAAGAUUUUGCCACUGUUAUCUUUUCCACCUCUUCUCCAUUCAGUAUCCUCUGCCCCAUAAGACCCCCUAUCCUGCGAUGAGGAGUAAGAGAAGAUAGACAGUGGUUGCCUUUCUGGCCCUUAUAUUCUUUUAGGUUCCUCACAAAGGACAGUGCCCCUAAUCUUGCCCUUAAUUACAGGGUUUUUCACCACUUUAAGCCCACCAUUAUGCUUGAAGACCCUCAGCUUACCUACAUUCUAUAUACUAGACAAGGCAAUUGGGUUCUUGCAGGGGGCCGUAAAGUACUUGAGAUGAAGAAAAGCUAACUUGUAGUAGACUUAGUAUGAAACAAAAGAGACAAGAGACCCACCAUGUAAACCACAGGCGAUUCGCGGCCAUUCCAUCGUGAAUUAGAAAGGUGAGAUCCUUGCUUCAGACACAGAGAGAAGGGAGCAUGGUAGUUUGUUGCCUAUUAGCAUGCUUUACUCCAUUUUUGUUUGAUGAUCAGCUCUCCAUGCAGUUAAAAUUCUGUAGUGUUAGGUCUCUGCGAC